rnacentral:rRNA from 1 species
GUCUUUUUGAAUUAAAUUUAAAGUCUAACCUGCCCACUGAAAAUUUUAAAUGGCCGCAGUAUUCUAACUGUGCAAAGGUAGCAUAAUCAUUAGUCUUUUAAUUGAAGGCUGGAAUGAAUGGUUGGACGAAAUAUUAACUGUUUCAUUUAAAUUUUUUAUAGAAUUUUAUUUUUUAGUUAAAAAGCUAAAAUAAAUUUAAAAGACGAGAAGACCCUAUAAAUCUUUAUAUUUUAUUUAUUUUAAUUAUAAAGAUUAUUUUUGUUAUAAUAAAUUAAAAUAUUUUAUUGGGGUGAUAUUAAAAUUUAAAAAACUUUUAAUUUUUAAAACCAUUAAUUUAUGAAUAAUUGAUCCAUUAAUAAUGAUUAAAAAUUUAAGUUACUUUAGGGAUAACAGCGUAAUUUUUUUGGAGAGUUCAUAUCGAUAAAAAAGAUUGCGACCUCGAUGUUGGAUUAAGAUAUAAUUUUGGGUGUAGCCGUUCAAAUUUUAAGUCUGUUCGACUUUUAAAUUCUU